rfam:Mus musculus chromosome 11, GRC primary reference assembly.
CAGUGCAGUCACCCAUAAAGUAGAAAGCACUACUAACAGCACUGGAGGGUGUAGUGUUUCCUACUUUAUGGAUGAGUGCACUGU